CAGCCGUUAAACCGACCAAGCUCGAGCUCACCAGCGCGCGGUGCACAAAAGGCCCCGGAUGAUCGGUUGAGGUUAAAAAUGACAAGGAAUUUGUCUAUGGGAAUCUCGAACACAACACACCAGUUUUGCUGUCUCUAUCCAGAUAUUUAAGAAGAGGAGCAAGGGAUUCACUCGAUCAUCCUUCCUGAUCAGAGUGUGAGGAGGGAUUCACUCGGUCAUCUGACCGAAUGGCUCACCAGCGAGUUCACACCGGGGAUAGGCCGUUCACCUGCUCGGACUGUGGGAAAGGAUUCACUAAAUCACCUCACCUACAGAGACACCAGUCAGUUCACAAUGGGGAGCGGCCGUUCACCUGCUCGGACUGUGGGAAGGGAUUCACUGAAUCAUAUAACCUACUGAUACACUGGUCAGUUCACACUGGCGAGAUGGCGUUCACGUGCUCAGACUGCGGGAAGGGAUUCACUUGCUCAUCCCUACUGAAGGUGCAUCAGCGAGUUCACACUGGGGAGAGGCCGUUCACCUGCUCCGACUGUGGGAAGGGAUUCACUUCGUCCUCUGUUUUACAGAGACACCAGCGAGUUCACACUGGGGAGAGGCCGUUCACCUGCUCAGUGUGUUGGAAGGGAUUCACUCGAUCUUCCCACCUACAAGCACACUUGUCUGUUCACACUGGGGAGGGGCCGUUCACCUGCUCAGUGUGUGGGAAUAGAUUCACUUGCUCAUCCCACCUGAAGGUACAUCAGCGAGUUCACACCGGGGAGAGGCCGUUCAUCUGCUCAGACUGUGGGAAAGGAUUCACUCAAUCAUCCCAACUGAAGGUACAUCAGCGAGUUCACACUGGGGAGAGGCCGUUCAUCUGCUCAGACUGUGGGAAAGGAUUCACUCGAUCAUCCCAACUGAAAGUACAUCAGCAAGUUCACACUGGGGAGUGGCUGUUCAACUGCUCAAACUGCGGGAAGGGAUUCACUCAGUCAUCUGAACUGAAGGUACACCAGCGAGUUCACACUGGAGAGAGUCUGUUCACUUGCUCAGUGUGUGGGAAGGGAUUCACUCGGUCAUCCAACCUACUGACACAUCAGUCAGUUCACACUGGGGAGAGGCCGUUCACCUGCUCAAACUGUGGGACGGGAUUCACUUGCUCAUCCCACCUGAAGGUACAUCAGCGAGUUCACACUGGGGAGAGGCCAUUCACCUGCUCGGACUGUGGGAAGGGAUUCACCUGCUCAUCCCAACUGAAGGUACAUCAGCGAGUUCACACAGGGGAGAGGCCGUUUAUCUGCUCAGACUGUGGGAAGGGAUUCAGGCAGUCAUCUGAACUGAAGGUACAUCAGCGAGUUCACACUGGGGAGAGGCCAUUCAUCUGCUCAGACUGUGGGAAGGGAUUCAUUCAGUCAUCUGAACUGAAGGUACAUCAGCGAGUUCACACUGGAGAGAGGCUGUUCACCUGCUCAGACUGUGGGAAGGGAUUCACUUGCUCAUCCCAACUGAAGGUACACCAGCGAGUUCACACUGGAGAGAGGCCGUUCACCUGUGCAGACUGUGGGAAGGGAUUCACUUGCUCAUCCGCACUGAAGGUACAUCAGCGAUUUCACACUGGGGAGAGACCGUUCACCUGCUUGGACUGUGGAAAGGGAUUCACUCAGUCAUCUGCCCUAAUGGCACACCAGCGAGUUCACAGUGGCGAGCGGCCCUUCACCUGCUCAGACUGUGGGAAGGGAUUCACUCAGUUGUCUCAUCUACAGAGACACCAGCGUCUUCACACAGGGGAGAGGUCAUUCACCUGCUCAGUGUGUGGGAAGAGAUUCACUCGGUCAUCCAACCUACAGAAACACCAGCGAGUUCACACUGGGUAGAGGCUGAUCUCCUGCUCGGACUUUGGGAAGAGAUUCUCUCGGCCAUCGCCACCAAAUGUCCAUCAUUGAGUUCACACUGGGGAGAGGCCAUUCACCUGCUGUAAAUGUGUGAAGAGAUUCGCUCAGUCAUCUAACCAUAUGUAACUCUCGCUUCAGCUAGCAGCUUAAUAUAGGGGGUGAUAGCCCCCCAGCCCGGCCAAACUUAAGAAAUCUUGUUUGGGUGGAUGCUGCACGAUGUGUCCCCCGUUACAAAUCAGUACCCCGAAAUAACAAACGGUACAUAAUAUGCGAUUAAACGAUUGGGCUUUGUAGUUCUUACUUUGACUAUAGGAUUAGUAAAGAAAAAAUAAAGGAAAAGGGCCCACUCUCUCCAUUCAUGUCUUCUCAUCUCUUCCCAGCAAAAGACCGCAAAAAUCUCUCUUCCAGACUCACAAGAAAGAACAACAUUUCUCUCAUUGGAUAGCCCUGCACUUCAAAACCCUGUUGUCUGUAGUCGUAACGUAAACAUUGCUGCUACAGAGAAACCGUUACCUCAGUAGUGAUACAUUACAGAGAGGCCAUUACAUUAACACUGAAACCUCACAGCACGUUACAGUUGUGACACACUACUGGGUUCACAAUAGACAAUAGGUGCAGGAGUAGGCCAUUUGGCCCUUCGAGCCAGCACUGCCAUUCACUGUGAUCAUGGCUGAUCAUCCACAAUCAGUACCCCGUUCCUGCCUUAUCCCCAUAACCUUUGAUUCCGCUAUCUUUAAGAGCUCUAUCCAUCUCUUUCUUGAAAGCAUCCAGAGACUUGGCCUCCACAGCCUUCUGGUGCAGUGCAUUCCAUAUAUCCACCACUCUCUGGGUGAAAAAAUGUUUCCUCAACUCCAUUCUAAAUGGCUUACCCCUUAUUCUUAAACUGUGGCCUCUGGUUCUGGAGUCACCCAUCAGCGGGAACAUGCUUCCUGCCUCCUGCGUGUCCAAUCCCUUAAUAAUCAUAUAUGUUUCAAUCUGAUCCCCUCUCAGCCUUCUAAAUUCCAGUGUAUACAAGCUCAGUCGCUCCAAUCUUUCGACAUAUGACAGUCCCGCCGUCCCGGGAAUUAACUUUGUGAACUUGCGCUGCACUCCUUCAAUAGCAAGAAUGUUCUUCCUCAAAUUUGGAGACCAAAACUGUACACAGUACUCCAGGUGUGGUCUCACCAGGGCCCUGUACAACUGCAGAAGGACCUCUAUGCUCUUAUACUCAAUUCCCCUUGUUCUGAAGGCCGGCAUGCCAUUACCUUUCUUCACUGCCUACUGUACCUGCAUGCUUGCUUUCAGUGACUGAUGUACAAGAACACCUGGAUCUCGUUGUACUUCCCCUUUUCUUAAAUUGAUUCCAUUUAGAUAAUAAUCUGCCUUCCUGUUCUUACCACCAAAGUGGAUAACCUCACAUUUAUCCACAUUAAACUGCAUCUGCCAUGCAUCCGCCCAUUCACCCAGCCUGUCAAAGUCACCCUGCAUUCUCAUAACAUCCUCCUCACAUUUCACACUGCCACCCAGCUUUGUGUCAUUGGCAAAUUUGCUAAUGUUACUUUUAAUCCUUUCAUCUAAAUCAUUAAUAACCAUUGUAAACAGCUGCGGUCCCAGCUCUGAACGCUGUGGAACCCCACUGGUCACCGCCUGCCAUUCCGAAAGGGACCCGUUAAUCGCUACUCUUUGUUUUCUGUCAGCCAGCCAAUUUUCAAUCCAUGUCAGUACUCUGCCCCCAAUACCAUGUGCCCUAAUUUUGCCCACUAAUCUCCUAUGUGGGACUUCAUCAAAGGCUUUCUGAAGGUCCGGUACACUAUAUCCACUGGCUCUCCCUCGUCCAUUUUCAUACUUACAUCCUCAAAAAAUUCCAAAAGAUUAGUCAAGCACGAUUUCUGCACUGGGGAGAAAGUUUCAACAACCUGCCUGCUGGAUAUUUGUCCAUCACCGUUGCUGAAUGCAAUUUUGAAAGUGACUGUUGGUGCCGAACUCUGCAAUUAUUGCUGAUGCUCACCACACCCAGUUCUGCACCCUGGUGACUGGGCAAGGGAGGAGGUUCUUCUGCUGCAUAUUCACCUUUAUUGGGACUGGAGUUUAACGUGGACUGGAGUGGAGAGCGGCCAGUGAAGGAGUGGAGUUUUGAGGCUUUGGCUCAAGAGAUUUCAGCGAGCAGAGGCAGAGGAUGAGCUUGCUCCCAGUAAGUCUUUCUUUUGAAACCUUAUUAUAAUACUUCAAUACUGCUUUACUGUGGCUGGGAAAAGAACCAAAGCGUUUGCAAAAGGAAGAGAAACCGAAGAUGAAUCCCCAGUCACUUUGGAUUCAAUCAGUGACUUCCUUAAAUGGCAAAAGUAGGACUUCUCUGAGGAGUUUCAACGGCUUAACAGCAAAUUGGAUACAAUUCAGCGAACUUUAUUUGAGCAUGAGAACCAAAUUCAGGAGAAUACUGCGAAGCUGAUGACACUUGAAGAGGACGUUGAAGAUACAAUUAAACUCUGCAAGGAGUUAUCUUUAUCCAGUGAUAAAAUGCUGAAAAGGAUCAUCAGUCUCGAAAAUAGAAACAGGAGAAGUAACUUGCGAAUCCUGGGUCUUGAAGAAUCAAUUGAAGGCGCUGACCCUACGAAGUUUUUUGCAAACUUUCUGAAGCAGCUUUUCCCUGAUUUAUUCACUUCGGAGCCGAAGCUCGAUCGAGCUUCUCGCUCUCUGACUUUGAAGCCAUUGUCCUUGGCGGCGAAACCCAGAUUGGUCGGACUAGCCUUUCAUGAAUUUCGUAUUAAGGACCUUUUAAUUCGCCAUACCCGGAGACAAGGAAUGAUCAAUUUCCAAAAUUACAAGGUUAGAUUUGUGGAAGACUAUUCACCUGAAGUUUUGGCUGAUCGCAUGAAAUACAAAGAAAUUAUGUCGGAAUUUUAUAAUGACGGAUAUAAACCAUCCCUUCAGUUCCCUGCAUGUCUGAGUAUUGUUUUGAAGAACGGAUUGCGAAAAAGAAUAAAUUCAGUUGAAGAUGCAAAAGAGUUUUUGAAGGAUGAAGUCUAAAACUGUUAUAUUUCUUAUUGAUCAAGAUUUUUCUUCUGUUAAUACGAAUUUGAAAUAAGGUUACAUUUUGGCUGUUCAUAUCUUGUCUUUUGUUAUAUUUUGGAAUACUGAGUUAUUUUGCUUUUUAUGUUGUGUCUUGGUAGGGACAUAAUGACAUCGCAGGACUGGAGUUUCUUAUUCUCUGUCAACAGGACUUUUUGGGACCGGUACUUAGUUCAUAGCUCGCUGACUGUCUAUUGGUCAGCUUUCUCGCUUUGGGUGAGGGAGGGAGUAGGGCCUAUUUCUCUCCGGGAGCUGUGUUGGGUUGAAUAUAUGAUUGUUUGUUUGAAUACCUUACUUUACGGUUUGCUUUCUAGUUUUAAUAAUUUAUGGCCAGAUCUUUUAAUUACAUGUUGAUUGGUAUUUAAAAUGGUUCAAAAUAUUAACCUGUUUAGUUUGAAUGUGAAAGGGCUGAUUCACCCCACCAGAAGGAACCAAAAGUGUUUGCUUAUAUUAAAAAAUUAAAAGCACCUCUUUUUUUUUUACAAGAAACGCACAUACGCAGCUGUGAUACCUUACGUUUUUUUACUGGGUGGAAGGAUAUUCAAUUCUACUCUUCGUUCAACGCAAAAUCACUUGGAGUUUCGAUUUUUGUACAUAAUGCAGUUUCCUUCAUUCAGCAUAAAGUUGUUGCGGACCUUAAUGGUCGAUUUGUUAUUGUAUCAGGGAGUUUAGACAGUAAGUUGAUUGAUUUUGCUAAUGUAUAUGCUCCCAGCAUAGAUGAUCCAGGAUUUUUUGAACGUCUAUUUUCAUUUUUGCCAGAUUUGUGUACUUACUCCCUUGUGAUGGGAGGAGAUUUUAACUGCUGGUUAGAUCCAGUAUUAGAUCACUCAUCUGUUAAACCCUCCACACUUAAUAAAUCAGCUUUGUUUAUCCAAUCUUUUCCAACUAAAUGUGGUAUAGUUGAUGCUUGGUGUUUUCUGCAUCUGACGGACAGGAAGUAUUCAUUUUUCUCUCAUGUCUAUUGUUCUUAUACCAGGAUUGACUAUUUUUUUUAUUGAUAGUCAAAUGAUUCCAUUAGUUUGAUCGAUUGAAUAUAAAGAGAUUGCUAUCUCUGACCACUCUCCUGUAAUUUCUGUCUUUAAAUCUUCCUGGUCCUAUCCCUGUGAGUAGAUUUUGGUGAUAUAAUUUAACUCUGUUAUCCGAUGAGGAUUAAAAAAACUUAUGGAGAAUCAAAUUACUCUUUAUUUUUGAAGAAAAUAUGUUGGAAGAGAUGUCUCGCCUUAUUAUAUGGGAUACUUUUAAAGCAUACAUCUGGGGUCAAAUUAUUUCUUAUACUGCAAACAUCAUUAUAAAAGCUAACAAAGAAAGAAAUGAAUUAGCCAAUCAGCUAAAGCAACUGGACCAUAAAUAUGCUUCGGUAUCUGAUCCUGAAACAUAUAAGAGACGUACUGAAACUAAAACUAAAUAUGAUCUUCUUUUAACAUAUCCAAUUGAAAGCUAACUUUUUAAAGAUAGAAGUCAACUUUAUAUUCACAGAGAUAAAACUGGUAAGCUACUGACUAAUCAAUUGAAGCCAUUUUCAGCCGAUCAGGAAAUUAAAGAAAUACAUAAAAUUAAUGGAGACAUGACAACUGACCACCUUGAAAUUAAUGAUACUUCCAGGGAAUUUUGUUCUAAAUUGUAUAGUUCUGACUCUGUUAAUGAUAGUAUUGCAAUGAAUAAUUUUUUAGAUCAAUUAAAUAUUCCUAAUCUUUCGUUAGAUGAUCGUGGGCAAUUGGAUCAACCUAUUUCCCAGGAUGAAAUUGCUCAGGCUAUUUGAGAAUUGUAUUCUGGGAAAUCCCCAGGACCCGGUGGAUUCUCUGAAGAGUUUAAUAAGGCUUUUCCUUCCUUGCUUAUACCACACUUAAGUUCUACACUUACAGAUUCCUUUAAGGAAGGAAGACUACAGCAGUCUUUUUACGAAGCUUCCAUUUCGCUCAUUCUCAAAAAGAAUAAGAAUCCGACUGAAUGUUCUUCAUACAGACCUAUCUCUUAACUCAAUUUUGAUACUAAAAUUUUAUCUAAAGUGUUGGCUCGCAGACUUGAAAAUGUUAUAUCUUCUGUAGUUUUGGAUGAUUAGACAGGAUUUAUUAAAAAUCGAUAUUCCCAUUUUAAUAUACGGUGUUUGUUAAAUGUUAUAUACGCUCCAUCUAAGGAAAUACCAGAAUGUGUGAUACCUUUGGAUGUGGAGAAGGCUUUUGACAGAGUUGAAUGGAACUUUCUAUUUACAUCCUUAGAAAAAUUUAUUUUGGACCUACUUUUAUUCAUGAGAUUAAAUUACUUUAUCUCCCUCCGCUCGGGUUCUUACUAAUUUUCAGAAUUCUAAACCCUUUAAACUCCAACGUGGAACUAGACAAGUUUGCCCCUUGAGCCCCCUGGUUUUUGAUUUGGUUUUAGAACCCUUAGCAAUUGCUUUUCGAGAGUCAAAAGAGAUCACUGGUAUUUUAAGGAGAGGUACUAUUCAUAAAGUGUCGCUCUGUGCUGAUGACUUAUUGCUUUUUUAUCUAAUGUUACAACCUCCUUACCAUUUGUGUUCCGUUUACUAAUUUUGGUCAGUUCUCAGGAUAUAUAUUAAAUCUACAGAAGAGUGAACUCUUUCCUUUAAACAAUUUAAUACCAACAGAUAUUAACCUUCCUUUUAAAAUUUUAGGAGAACA